GCUCAUAUAUGUUUUCAGUAAUGUUUUAUUUUCUCAGUUUCUAUUUCAUCCCAUAUUUUUUAAAAAUCCUAAAAAUGCUGCUGAUGAUUUUUUUUUUUUUUUUUUGACAGAGUCUCAAUCUGUUGCCUAGGCUGGAGUGCAUUGGCCUCCACAAUCCUUUAUCUUAACCUGAACAUUCCCUUCCAUUGAUCCCAGGUCUUCGAUAAACU
rnacentral:lncRNA from 1 species